UUAAAUUGAAGAGUUUGAUCAUGGCUCAGAUUGAACGCUGGCGGCAGGCCUAACACAUGCAAGUCGAACGGUAACAGGAAGCAGCUUGCUGCUUCGCUGACGAGUGGCGGACGGGUGAGUAAUGUCUGGGAAACUGCCUGAUGGAGGGGGAUAACUACUGGAAACGGUAGCUAAUACCGCAUAACGUCGCAAGACCAAAGAGGGGGACCUUCGGGCCUCUUACCAUCGGAUGUGCCCAGAUGGGAUUAGCUAGUAGGUGGGGUAACGGCUCACCUAGGCGACGAUCCCUAGCUGGUCUGAGAGGAUGACCAGCCACACUGGAACUGAGACACGGUCCAGACUCCUACGGGAGGCAGCAGUGGGGAAU
rnacentral:rRNA from 1 species